CCCUCCGAUACUCCUGCAGUUCUACAAGGAACAAACAAUGAUUUGAGGGGCGUGUCUGUUGUAUCCUUCGCAGUCCACCAGAGAUUUAUUGGAGGCUGAAUUGGAGACUUUUGCUUCCUGUGACAAUGACAGAUAAAGUGGGAGUAGGCUACAGCUACAGAAUCAAAUCUUGGAUGAGAGGUCGGAGACUGAAAGACCUGGACUUGUGAUGAGGCCAAGACGAUUGUUUCCUCCCACCCAUUGGUUCUGUGGAUGAGCAGUCCGCUCAUCUCCGUCUGGCCUUGUUGACUGAUAGAUUUCCAAACUCUGCAUCAGCCAAAGCUAUUAAGUGGUCUGCUGGAGCGAAAUGGCUUUACCGUUGUUGAGGUGAAGCAAUUGGCUCAGCGAUUCCUGCUCGCUAUUGUUUCAGACCUCUGUGACUAAGUUAAUUUCUUGCCAGACAAGCGCAGCCACAAAUAUGCUGACACACACAACAAAUAGCAGGCAAGGAAUGCAGCAAAUCCCAUUCACAGCAACAUCGUUUGUUCCACUACAUAAUCAGCAGAGAAUUAUGAAAGAGGUGACCCAAAUCAGAUGAAUUUCUCUCUGAAGACCUUUCUUACAGGCCUUCCCUCCCUGUGUAGCUUAUGUUCUAACAAUAACUUUCCUCCUAAAUCGUCCAACUGCCUCUAAAAUGGCUAUUUCCAAAUUACUGUAUUGAUAAAUUUUUUCUUAUUACUCUGAUUUAACAGCCAUAAAUCAAAUCUGACAGUUCUGUGGCACAGAGUCUCUGACUUAAUUUUACUGAGAUAUGAGACAUAUGAAACUGCUCUCAUCUCCCAUCAGUGCUUGCUUUACCUCCUCCUACAUUAUUCAUGGUCAUAUUUAAGUCUGAAGAGAUAAAGCCUGGUUUUACAUUUACGGUGACGAGCUGGAAAGUGCCCGGUGGAAUUCAGGUCCUGUGUGAUUUAAGAGCCUGACAUGGUUGGUCGGACACAAAACUGGAUUUCCGGAUUUGCAGAACAAACUGGGUACAGUUAUUUCCCAUAAGGUCCUUUUACACACGCAAGGGACCUGGAGCAACAGUGAGUCUAAAGAACAAAUCAGGAAAGAGAGGAAACUUCCCCUUUUUGUUUAAAACUUAAUGUUCAGCAAGAUCAUUUUCUGUCUCCAGAAUAGCUACACUAAAAUAUUGAACAUGACUCUGUUCAAUGUAUUAAAAUGGUUUUUGCUCUUAUCUCAAGUCAGUAACUCUGUAAUUCUAAAUACAGACAAGAAAAAUGGUUUAAUGUGAAAGGAUGUUUCUCGUGAAAACAAGAAACUAAACUAAGCUGUAUAGAAAGCAAAGUCUGUUUGGCACUUUUUUAAAUAUAUCAAAUAUCACAUUUCAGCAAAAAAGCAGUUUAAGGUGCCUUAUAUCACAAAAGCUUAAAACUGUCAUAAACACAAAAACCUACAGUCCUCUAUAUUCUAUGAUUAUAGAGAAUUUAUAAUCAUUCAUAAAAAAAAGUGCAAAUAGAUCCCACUUUUAUCAGGUUUCGUCAAAAAAAAGAAAUAAAAUCCACAAAUUUAUUCUACAUAUGUAUAAAACUGACUGCAACUAUGUUUUCUGAGGAAAACAAAAGGUUAUUGAGCUCAUUCUUUUAGUUUUAAUAGUUUUUUUUUGUUGUUUUUUUUUGCUCCUUGGUCCACCAAUCUUUGGGGGAGGAGGUUAAAAAUUAUGUUCAGAAAUAUUUGUCUUCUUUUGCAUUAUUCAGUAAUAAGAAGCAGCUCUGCCAUAUAGCUCAGGUCUUUUGGGAAAUUAAAACAGGUUUUGCAGUUAGUUGAGAUGAAGGAGUAAUAGUCAAAGCAGUUGAUCAUGUGCUGUCUUUGGUUUGCCUGAUCCAUUGUCGUAAAUGGGGUCGAGUCGGAAGAGUUGCUCAGACUGGAGGUCUUAUCUAGCUGUAGAGCAAUGAGCUCUGUGCUGCAGUCUCCAUUGGCAUGGUGAUAGAGGGUUAAGGCCUGUCUUCCCAGAUAAACCCUCCCUCUGUUCUCCCAGCAGCCUGUCAGACUUUCUGUUUUCUGCAGGCGUUGAGGGGAGAAAAAUGCUCCCCAAACCAUUAGACAUCAACAUGUCUGCUGGCGACAAGCUGGCCUCCAGGUAUGGUGAAGAUAAAGGAUGUGGAAGGAGGAAAAAUGGAAGGUAGCAGAACAUAAACAGGAAUACAGAUGGCAGCAUGGAGGGGAGCAACGAUGAGGGAAUGGGAAGCUGAUGAAACCAGGAUGAAAACUAUUAAUUUUUCCGAGUAAUUUAAAGAUGCCAUUAGCAGGGAGAGGCAGCAAGUAAAUCUUUCUUGACAACUUUGCAAAAAAAA